CAUUUGGACACUGCACCCGCCCACUCUAGCUCAGAGGGUUUAUGUGGUUCCAAGAAGAAGACACAAGUUUUGGCUUGCUAUCAAGGUUUUUCGUUGUGUUUACGAGGAAGAUUGUGCGUGCAUCCAAGAAAAACCACAAGUCCAUUUCUUGUAACCACAAAGAUACUUCAAUGAUGUGUGGGUUUGUGCAACUGUGUGGUGGUGACUUAGAGAAUAAAGCUCUGGAUAUGAAAACAUCUGCCUGGUUUCUGCCGGACUGCCUGUAGUGGGUCAGACCAAAGUACAGCUAGCGUUAAGUCAUUAGCUGGUGAGGGUUCAGAAGCCAACCGCUCAGAUGGCUCCAGCUGGACAUUUUUAUACCCGGUUACUCGUUAACAAGGAUUUCUGGGAUCGUACACUCCCAAUUAUUGUGCAUGAACUUAAACUGACGUUUUCUGGUGUCUGAACUGCAUGACACUUGCACUUGGAAAGAGGAGACAUCAUAGCGUCACGUCAAUACACGCCCAACCAACUAGCUAGUACCACUUACGUUGGGGCGGGAAUAUUUGAAUUGCAGUGUCAGUUAGCUAGAGAGAUCCCUAGAUCCGUAGACCCCUCCGUAGAGAUCCACUCACUGCCUGUCCGCAACAUUAGCUGUGAUUUCAACGAGAAGACUUCAAGACUUUCAACAAAGUCGACAUCGAAGUACUUCAAAAGAACCAUGGUCUAGGCACAAUUUACACAGUAGGUCUUACGUUAGUGUGGUGGUUGUACAUUGAAAUGAUUUACUAGCUAGCUAACGUUAGUCAGCUGAAUUAAGUGCCAGAGAUGAAUAAACAUAUUUUAGCUAGCUAGCUACUUUGGUGUUAAGCAAGAGUUUAGGGGUUAGUUGUUGCAAGGUGCUUGAAUGCCUUAUAAAAUAAGCUGUUUAUCAAAAGGUAAUAAGACUUACUAGCACACUGUGUCCUAUUGCAGGGAAGUGAUGUUUUUUGUUUUUGUGAGUGUAGGGAAAAACUUGUGAUCGAUAUUGAAGCAUAGAGGUGUUUUAUGGAGACAUGAACAAUUAUUCUACUCAAUAUCCCUACACCCCAGUCUCCUCUGCUACCUCCCAGGGAGGAGGAAUACCCUAAACUCCUCGUUCUCACAGGACUCGGGCUAGUACGCUGUUGCCAGGUCAGUCUUGGGGGUGACCCGGCUGAGACAUGUUGGAUACAACAUUGGGUCGUUGACCAGCAGUGGUUACCCUCCCCAGGACAUGUUGCCCUCCUGCUCCUCCUCUGCUGUCUCUUCCUCAGCCGGGGCAUGCAAAGCUCCCUGUUACCCAGAGGACCCCCAUGCACCUCCUCAGCUAUCACAUGGGUCGCCCACGUACCCCCCUACUGCCCCCUUAAUGAGCCCCAGGUCUACCCCACAUAUGCGAUACCACCCCCCUUCACUCCAGGACAAGCAGCCCCCUCUGGCAGACCGGUACAGAGAGAAGGACAAGGACAGAGCGGGACAGGGACUCAGGAGUGAGGUAUGUGCCAGUAGGAUCGGCUCUAGAAGGUCAUCUUACCAGGAGGCCAACUCUUCCUCAAAUGAUUCGCACCACUCGGAGUGAGAGUGAGGGGAGAGGGGCUACAGACGGGACAGCCUGGGCUCCAGAGAUGACCGCAGACACCGUAACCACCACUCACACAACCACAGCAGCAGCAGCAGAGCAGCCAUGACAGCAGGAACAGAAACAGCGACUACUCCAACAGCUCCGAUCCCACCACACCCCUCUGCUUCCCCCACUGCACCCUCCCUCCCUCCUGCUGCCUCUGUGAUAGCCCAGGACUGUGGCCAGGAUGGCCCGGCCAAGCCCAAACGCCAUGUGUAUCUAGGGCUGAGCGAUGUGGCCAAAAUAUCAUAUAACUGUAUUUUUGAUGGUAUGUUGGUUUUUGAUGUUUCUGAAUACUAAUAAAGUUCUAAAUAUGCUUUAUGGGUAGUACAUGGCCCAAGGAUGGCAACAGAUGAAUUCUAAGUGGUUUUAAUGUGCUUUCUCCAUUCAGAUUGCUUUGCUGUUCAACCAAACUUCAACCAAAAAUAAUAGAAAGACUAAAUUAACUUACUCUGGUUAUCGACCAAUGAAUGCCAUUUGCAUAGUUAUUUGUUCAAUUCUAGAGUUCACUUGCAGCAUUUGAAUACAUUUCUUCAAUUCCUGCUCUGAUUCAUCAGUCACACACUGUGUCAUGUUUCUUUUGUCUUACAGUGCCUUGCAAAA